rnacentral:rRNA from 1 species
UGGGGAAUAUUGCACAAUGGGCGCAAGCCUGAUGCAGCCAUGCCGCGUGUGUGAAGAAGGCCUUCGGGUUGUAAAGCACUUUCAGCGAGGAGGAAGGUGGUGAGCUUAAUACGCUCAUCAAUUGACGUUACUCGCAGAAGAAGCACCGGCUAACUCCGUGCCAGCAGCCGCGGUAAUACGGAGGGUGCAAGCGUUAAUCGGAAUUACUGGGCGUAAAGCGCACGCAGGCGGUUUGUUAAGUCAGAUGUGAAAUCCCCGGGCUCAACCUGGGAACUGCAUUUGAAACUGGCAAGCUAGAGUCUCGUAGAGGGGGGUAGAAUUCCAGGUGUAGCGGUGAAAUGCGUAGAGAUCUGGAGGAAUACCGGUGGCGAAGGCGGCCCCCUGGACGAAGACUGACGCUCAGGUGCGAAAGCGUGGGGAGCAAACAGAUUAGAUACCCUGGUAGUCCACGCUGUAAAACGAUGUCGAUUUUGGAGGUUGUGCCCUUGAGGCGUGGCUUCCGGAGCUAACGCGUUAAAUCGACCGCCUGGGGAGUACGGCCGCAAGGUU